GCAACCCUGGCGGCGAGCGGCGAACGGGUGAGUAAUGCAUCGGAACGUGUCCUUUUGUGGGGGAUAACCAGUCGAAAGACUGGCUAAUACCGCAUGAGCUCGAGAGAGGAAAGCAGGGGACCCGCAAGGGCCUUGCGCGAGAGGAGCGGCCGAUGCCCGAUUAGCUAGUUGGCGGGGUAAUAGCCCACCAAGGCGACGAUCGGUAGCUUGGUCUGAGAGGACGACCAGCCACACUGGGACUGAGACACGGCCCAGACUCCUACGGGAGGCAGCAGUGGGGAAUUUUGGACAAUGGGGGCAACCCUGAUCCAGCCAUGCCGCGUGUGUGAAGAAGGCCUUCGGGUUGUAAAGCACUUUCGGACGGAACGAAAUCGCGCGUGUUAAUAGCACGCGUGGAUGACGGUACCGUAAGAAGAAGCACCGGCUAACUACGUGCCAGCAGCCGCGGUAAUACGUAGGGUGCGAGCGUUAAUCGGAAUUCUGGGCGUAAAGUGUGCGCAGGCGGCGUCGCAAGUCGAGUGUGAAAGCCCCGGGCUUAACUUGGGAAUUGCGCGUCGAAAACUACGAUGCUUGGAGUAAUGGCAGAGGAAG
rnacentral:rRNA from 1 species